rnacentral:rRNA from 1 species
GAUGAACGCUGGCGGCGUGCCUAAUACAUGCAAGUCGAGCGAACAGACGAGGAGCUUGCUCCUCUGACGUUAGCGGCGGACGGGUGAGUAACACGUGGAUAACCUACCUAUAAGACUGGGAUAACUUCGGGAAACCGGAGCUAAUACCGGAUAAUAUAUUGAACCGCAUGGUUCAAUAGUGAAAGACGGUUUUGCUGUCACUUAUAGAUGGAUCCGCGCCGCAUUAGCUAGUUGGUAAGGUAACGGCUUACCAAGGCAACGAUGCGUAGCCGACCUGAGAGGGUGAUCAGCUACACUGGAACUGAGACACGGUCCAGACUCCUACGGGAGGCAGCAGUAGGGAAUCUUCCGCAAAGGGCGAAAGCUUGACGGAGCAACGCCGCGUGAGUGAUGAAGGUCUUCGGAUCGUAAAACUCUGUUAUUAGGGAAGAACAAAUGUGUAAGUAACUAUGCACGUCUUGACGGUACCUAAUCAGAAAGCCACGGCUAACUACGUG